rnacentral:rRNA from 1 species
GGUACGUAUGGCUCUCUCAUGCAGUCGAGCGGAACGACAACAUUGACCCUUCGGGUGAUUUGUUGGGCGUCGAGCGGCGGACGGGUGAGUAAUGCCUGGGAAAUUGCCCUGAUGUGGGGGAUAACCAUUGGAAACGAUGGCUAAUACCGCAUAACGUCUACGGACCAAAGAGGGGGACCUUCGGGCCUCUCGCUUCAGGAUAUGCCCAGGUGGGAUUAGCUAGUUGGUGAGGUAAUGGCUCACCAAGGCGACGAUCCCUAGCUGGUCUGAGAGGAUGAUCAGCCACACUGGAACUGAGACACGGUCCAGACUCCUACGGGAGGCAGCAGUGGGGAAUAUUGCACAAUGGGCGCAAGCCUGAUGCAGCCAUGCCGCGUGUAUGAAGAAGGCCUUCGGGUUGUAAAGUACUUUCAGUCGUGAGGAAGGCGUUGAAGUUAAUAGCUUCAUCGUUUGACGUUAGCGACAGAAGAAGCACCGGCUAACUCCGUGCCAGCAGCCGCGGUAAUACGGAGGGUGCGAGCGUUAAUCGGAAUUACUGGGCGUAAAGCGCAUGCAGGUGGUUUGUUAAGUCAGAUGUGAAAGCCCGGGGCUCAACCUCGGAACCGCAUUUGAAACUGGCAGGCUAGAGUACUGUAGAGGGGGGGUAGAAUUUCAGGGUGUAGCG